AUCGCUUCUCGGCCUUUUGGCUAAGAUCAAGUGUAGUAUCUGUUCUUAUCAGUUUAAUAUAAUAUUUCAGAGUAGUCUAUAAUCUGCAAUUAUAAACUCAUGAAUCUCGUUUAUCUACUGUCCUCUUAUAGCAGUUUGUAUCCUUGGGUGCUUUGCAGUUUUUUUCUGCGAGCUUCCAUGGGAGUGGUUUUCUACUGUGGCUUACAGGCCUGGGGGCACGUAUU
rnacentral:snRNA from 1 species